GACGAACGCUGGCGGCGUGCCUAAUACAUGCAAGUCGAGCGGACCAAACAGGAGCUUGCUCUUGUUUGGUUAGCGGCGGACGGGUGAGUAACACGUGGGUAACCUGCCCGUAAGACCGGGAUAACUCCGGGAAACCGGAGCUAAUACCGGAUAACACCGAAGACCGCAUGGUCUUUGGUUGAAAGGCGGCUUCGGCUGCCACUUACGGAUGGGCCCGCGGCGCAUUAGCUAGUUGGUGAGGUAACGGCUCACCAAGGCGACGAUGCGUAGCCGGCCUGAGAGGGUGACCGGCCACACUGGGACUGAGACACGGCCCAGACUCCUACGGGAGGCAGCAGUAGGAAAUCUUCCGCAAUGGACGAAAGUCUGACGGAGCGACGCCGCGUGAGCGAAGAAGGUCUUCGGAUCGUAAAGCUCUGUUGUUAGGGAAGAAGAAGCGCCGUUCGAACAGGGCGGCGCGGUGACGGUACCUAACGAGAAAGCCCCGGCUAACUACGUG
rnacentral:rRNA from 1 species